ACAGAGAAGGGAAAGCAGAGGGGCAGAGAGACAGAGAAGGAAACAAAGAGACUUUAUUAAAACCAAACAUCGUGGAGGCAGCUGCCUGCCCGCAGAGGUCAGAGUCAGGUGGUGUCCUGGACUCCUGGCCCAACCACACAGAAAUGCGAGUCCCACCUCACAGCUCCGGGGCUGUGGCUCCCCAGCGCUCUCCAGGGUCAGGCGCGUUGGGUCACGCCUGUAAUCCCAGCACUUUGGGAGGCCAAGGAGGGUGGAUCACCUAUCAGGAGUUCGAGACCAGCCUGGCCAACAGAGUGAAACCCCAUCUCUAUCAAAAAUACAAAAAAAUUAGCCAGGUGUAGUGGCUUGCACCUGUAAUCCCAGCUACCCAGGAAGCUGAGGCAGGAGAAUUGCUUGAACCCGGGAGGUGGAAGUUGCAGUGAGCCAGGAUCGCACCACUGCGCUCCAGCCUGGACAACAGAGCAAGACUCCAUCUCAAAAAAAAAAAAAAAAAAAAAAAGGAAGAAAAUAUAACAGUCCUCUAUGUCCCCUGUACCUAUAUAGAAUAGAUGUGGACAUUUUGCCA
rnacentral:lncRNA from 10 species